CUAAGACACUUGUUAAUUUAUAUCUCUGCUUAUUUACAGAGGCUGUGUUAGUUUAGUUGAAUGGAAAGCACCACGAUGAAGUUGCAGUUGAGCGGUAGGAUUUUUCCCUACUUUCGGAAGAGAUGGGAGAUUGGUUGCUGGUUGUGAAGAAAUCUUGAAAGAUGCAACAAAGCUGUUUGUAUGGCAGAGGAAUCAAGACACCCCCCCCCCGCCACCCCCCUCUCCGUGGGAAUGGAGAGCUGGAUUGUCAGGGUGCAUGGAAGUCGAGAAACAACUUCAUGCAGGGUGAGAAGAAAGCAGUUCCAGAGCCAGGACUAAAGAGGAGGGCUUUCCCAGAUUCUCAGGGAAAAGGCAGGCUCCAGGGACAGCACUCUGGUGAAACC
rnacentral:lncRNA from 1 species